UGAGCGCGGCUAUCAUGCAGUAGACGCUGAGGUUUGGUGUUUACACUAGACUGAUGAGUUGCGAACGGGUGAGUAACGCGUAGGUAACCUGCCUCAUAGCGGGGGAUAACUAUUGGAAACGAUAGCUAAUACCGCAUAAGAGUAAUUAACACAUGUUAGUUAUUUAAAAGGAGCAAUUGCUUCACUGUGAGAUGGACCUGCGUUGUAUUAGCUAGUUGGUGAGGUAAAGGCUCACCAAGGCGACGAUACAAAGCCGACCUGAGAGGGUGAUCGGCCACACUGGGACUGAGACACGGCCCAGACUCCUACGGGAGGCAGCAGUAGGGAAUCUUCUGCAAUGGACGGAAGUCUGACCGAGCAACGCCGCGUGAGUGAAGAAGGUUUUCGGAUCGUAAAGCUCUGUUGUUAGAGAAGAACGUUGGUAGGAGUGGAAAAUCUACCAAGUGACAGUAACUAACCAAAAAGGGACGGCUAACUACGUGCCAACAGCCGCGGUAAUACGUAAGUCCCGAGCGUUGUCCGGAUUUAUUGGGCGUAAAGCGAGCGCAGGCGAGUUCUUUAAGUCUGAAGUUAAAGGCAGUGGCUUAACCAUUGUACGCUUUGGAAACUGGAGGACUUGAGUGCAGAAGGGGAGAGUGGAAUUCCAUGUGUAACGGUGAAAUGCGUAGAUAUAUGGAGGAACACCGGUGGCGAAAGCGGCUCUCUGGUCUGUAACUGACACUGACGCUCGAAAGCGUGGGGAGCAAACAAGAUUAGAUACCCUGGUAGUCCACGCCGUACACGAUGAGUGCUAGAUGUUAGGCCCUUUCCGGGGCUUAGUGCCGCACCUAACGCAUUAAACACUCCGCCUGGNGAGUACGACCGCAAGGUUGAAACUCAGAGGAAUUGACGGGGGCCCGCACAAGCGCGGGACCAUGUGGGUUAAUUCCCAGCAUCGCGNAGAAACU
rnacentral:rRNA from 1 species